rnacentral:tRNA from 1 species
UGGCUUGUAGCUUAACGGUUAGAGCGUCUGCCUUAUAUGCAGCAGGUUACCGGUUCGAAUCCGGUCUGGCCAA